rnacentral:rRNA from 1 species
ACGACCCCAGGUCAAGCGGGAUCACCCGCUGAGUUUAAGCAUAUCAAUAAGUAGAAGAAAAGAAACUUACCAGGAUUCCCCUAGUAACGGUGAGCGAACCGGGAAAAGCCCAGCUUGAGAAUCGGGCACCCCUGACAUUCGAAUUUUAGUCUGAAGAAGCGUCCUCCGGGGAGACUGGGCCCAAGUCCCCUGGAAAUGGGCACCAAAGAGGGUGAAAGCCCCAUUGUGCCCGGACCCUAUCACACCACGAGGCACUAUCUGCGAGUCGGGUUGUUUGAGAAUGCAGCCCCAAUCAGGUGGUAAAUUUCAUCCAAGGCUGAAUACAGGCGAGAGACCAAUAGCGAACAAGUACCGUGAGGGAAAGAUGAAAAGGACUUUGAAAAGAGAGUCAAAGAGUGCUUGAAAUUGUCAUGAGGGAAGCAGAUGGGGGCCGACGAUGUGCCCUGAUCAUAUGUGGAACGACGAGAGCUGGUCUGUCUAUUGGCUCGGGGCAUGGACCGAUGCGGGUCGCGGUGACGGCCCAAGCCUAGGCUUUCGAUGUGCCCGCGGAGACACUGUCAUCAUGAUUGUGGAAUGCAGCACGCGUCAUCUCAGCGUGCCCCGACAUCGAUGUGCUCCAAGGGUCGACGUACGGGCUCCCCAUCCGGCCCAUCUUAAAACACGGACCAAGGAGUCUGACAUGCCUGUGAGUCAAUGGUGCAGGAAACCUAUAAGGCGUAAGGAAGCUGAUUGGCGGGAUCCCUCGCGGGUGCACCGUCGACCGACCUUGAUCUUCUGAGAAAGGUUCGAGUGCGAGCAUGCCCGUCGGGACCUAAAAGAUGGUGAACUAUGCCUGAGCGGGGCGAAGCCAAAGGAAACUCUGGUGGAGGCUCGCAGCGAUACUGACGUGCAAAUUGUUCAUCUGACUUGGGUAUAGGGGCGAAAGACUAAUCGAACCGUCUAGUAGCUGGUUCCUUCCAAAAUUUCCCUCAGGAUAGUUAGAGCCCCGUCGAGUUCUAUAAGGUAAAGCCAAUGAUUAGAGGCAUCGGGGGCGUAAUACCCUUGACCUAUUCUCAAACUUUAAAUAGGUAAGACGGCGCGGCUGCUUCAUUGAGCCGCGCCACAGAAUCGAGAGCUCCAAGUGGGCCAUUUUUGGUAAGCAAAACUGGCGAUGUGGGAUGAACUGAAAGUCGGGUUAUGGUUCCCAACUGUGCGCUAACCCAGAACCCACAAAAGGUGUUGGUCGAUUAAGAUAGUAGGACAGUGGUCAUGGAAGUCGAAAUCAAUUAAAGAGUGUGUAACAACUCACCUGCCGAAUCAACUAGCCCCAAAAAUGGAUGGUGCUUAAGCACACGACCAAUACCCUAUCGUUGGGGUAAGGGCCAGGCCCCGAUGAGUAAGAGGGCACGACAGUCACCUCAAAACCCGAGGUACAAGCCCGAGCAUAGCGACCAUCAGUGCAGAUCUUGGUGGUAGUAGCAAAUAUUCAAAUGAGAACUUUGAAGGCCGAAGAGGGAAAAGGUUCCAUGUGAAUAGCACUUGCACAUGGGUUAGUCGAUCCUAAUAGAAGGGGGAAACCUGUCCGACAGCGCGUCCCGUGUGAGCUUUAAAAGGAAAUUGGGUUAAAAUUCUUGAACUGGGAUGCGACGGCUGAUGGCACCGUUAGGGAGUCAGGAGACAUCGACGGGGGCCUUAGGAAGAGUUAUCUUUUCUGUUUAACGGCCUACCCACCCUAAAAAUGGCUCAGUCGGAGGUAGGGUCCAGCGGUCAAAAGAGCACCGCACGUCACAUGGUGUCCGAUGCACCCCCAACGACCCUUGAAAAUCUAGAGGAUCGAGUGCCAUUCGCACCUUAUCGUACUCAUAACUGCAUCAGGUCUCCAAGGUGAAUAGCCUCUAGUUGAUGGAACAAUGUAGGCAAGGGAAGCCAGCAAAAUGGAUCUGUAACCUCGAGAAAAGGAUUGGCUCUGAGGGCUCGACACGGGGGUCCCAGUCUCGAACCCGUCGACUGUCGAUGCACUGCUCGAGCUGCUUCCACGGUGAUAGUGGGUUACCGCGUGCCGACCAGGGGAUGGACUGGGAAAGCUCCAUCGGGGGCCUUCCCCGGGUGACGAACAGUCGACUCAGAACUGGUAUGGACAAGGGGAAUCCAACUAUUUAAUUAAAGCAAAACAUUGUGAUGGUCCCUGCAGAUGCUCACGUAAUGUGAUUUUUGCCCAGUGCUCUAAAUGUCAAAGUGAAGAAAUUCAACCAAGCACGAGUAAACGGUGAGAGUAACUAUGACUCUCUUAAGGUAGCCAAAUGCCUCGUCAUCUAAUUAGUGACGCACAUGAAUGGAUUAAUGAGAUUCCCAUUGUCCCUGUCUACUAUCCAGUGAAACCACAACUAAGGGAAUGGGCUUGGCAAAAUCAACGGGGAAAGAAGACCCUAUUAAGCUUGACUCUAGUCCGACUUUGUGAAAUGACUUGAGAGGUGUAGGAUAAGUGGGAGCCCUCGGGCGAAAUUGAAAUACCACUACUUUUAACAUUAUUUUACUUAUUCGUGAAUCAAAGACGGGGUAUGACCCCUUCUUUUAGACCCAAGGCCGAUCUCGGCCGAUCGAUUCGGGUGGAAGACAUUGUUAGGUGGGGAGUUUGGCUGGGGUGGCACAUCUAUUAAAAGAUAACGCAGGUGUCCUAAGAUGAGCUCAACGAUAAUAGAAAUCUCGUGUGGAACAAAAGGGUAAAAGCUCAUUUGAUUCUAAUUUCCAGUACGAAUACGAACUGUGAAAGCGUGGCCUAUCGAUCCUUUAGACCUUCGAGAUUUGAAGCUAGAGGUGUCAAAAAAGUUACCACAUGGAUAACUGGCUUGUGGUAGCCAAGCGUUCAUAGCGAUGUUGCUUUUUGAUCCUUCGAUGUCGACUCUUCCUAUCAUUGUGAAGCAAAAUUCACCAAGUGUUGGAUUGUUCACCCACCAAUAGAGAACAUGAGCUGGGUUUAGACCAUCGUGACACAGGUUAGUUUUACCCUAUUGAUGGAGGCAUCGCGAUAGUAAUUCAACCUAGUACGAGAGGAACUAUUGACUCGUAUAAUUGGUCAUCGUGCUUGGUUGAAAAGCCAGUGGCACGAAGCUAUCGUGCGUUGGAUUAUGACUGAAUGCCUCUAAGUCAAAAUAUGGGCUAGAAGUGACGUGCGCGCCCGUCGCCCGAUUACCGACCCGCAGUAGGGGCCCAUGGCCCCCAAGGGCACAUGUCGUGGGUGCCGCCUCCAUGGUGAACGAGCCACGUGGGCCUCCUUGGAGCUCAAUUCCCACCG